rnacentral:tRNA from 1 species
GUCAGGAUGACCGAGCGGUCUAAGGUUCCAGACUCACGUUUCCAAACUUGCUCAGCUAAUACGCAGCCAAAGGUCGUUCUGGUCCACUAAUGUGGGCGUGGGUUCGAAUCCCACUCCUGACA